UGAACGACUCUCGGCAACGGAUAUCUCGGCUCUUGCAUCGAUGAAGAACGUAGCGAAAUGCGAUACUUGGUGUGAAUUGCAGAAUCCCGUGAACCAUCGAGUCUUUGAACGCAAGUUGCGCCCGAGACCUUCUGGUCGAGGGCACGUCUGCCUGGGCGUCACGC
rnacentral:rRNA from 1 species